UACAGAGGUCUCAAGCGUUGUUCGGAUUCAUUGGGCGUAAAGGGUGCGUAGGUGGCGCGCUAAGUCAGGUGUGAAAUCUCGGAGCUUAACUCCGAAACUGCAUUUGAUACUGGCGUGCUUGAGGACUGGAGAGGAGACUGGAAUUCACGGUGUAGCAGUGAAAUGCGUAGAUAUCGUGAGGAAGACCAGUGGCGAAGGCGGGUCUCUGGACAAUUCCUGACACUGAGGCA
rnacentral:rRNA from 1 species